GUCCCUGUAGCGCAAUGGAUAGUGCGUUGGACUCCUAAUACAAAGGCCGUGGAUUCUAAUCCCACCUGGAAUG